CUGAGCGGGGUAAAGCCAGA
rnacentral:sRNA from 1 species